CCAUUAACUGCUGGUGAAUAAGAUUCUGACUAUGCCCACGUUCCAUCGGCGGCUCGUUCAUGAGUGUAUGAGGCGAUAGUAUAUUUUGCUGCUGAAUUUGUCGGGACAUGAGCUGCUCUGCCAGACCCAACUGGUUAUGCUCUUGCUCAAGAAGCGAAAAACGGUGAUUACUAAUAGAGUCUUGCAACACAUUAGGGCCAGAGGCUGAGUCUUGCCUGUAGAUACUUGACCAUUUCUCAGGUGCAGGGUCACUCAAGGCAGAAAAGGAAGUUGUCUUAUGCACCUCGGGUUUUGUAGGUUGUCUUGCAGUAGAGCCUUCAAGCUCAGACCAGAACAGGCCAAAGGGAUGCAACUUACUGUCGGUCUGAUUUGUCAAGCUAGGGUCUGUCAGUUGAUCUGCAAGAGAUGGAUCGCUAUUAGAACCUGGAAGUCGCAGACUUCCGGAUGAUGCUACAAGGGGGAGGCUGGUGCUGUCAGG
rnacentral:lncRNA from 1 species